ensembl:lncRNA
UUGUGAAUGAUCGUCUGUAUGUUUCUGAUGUAUGCUUCAUCAGAUGGACAGCAGCUGUCCACCACAAGCUCAUCAGCUCAAAGGAAAAAGAAGACUGUCACAACACAAAGACAAGAUGAUGAUGACUCCGCAGGAUGGUCACUUGGGAAGAGACAAUGUCAAACUUGAAGAGCAAGACAUGCAGAUGAUGGUAAUGCUGAUGAGGAUGACGGGAGUGAUGACAUCAGUCAAGGCAUUGAAGACACAGAUGGACUGGUGCACCAGGAGAUAGGUGGAGGACAAAUGGAGAGAACUGCAGAAAAACAUGAUGAUGAUGCUCCAGAAAGGGUAGUGAAGAACCGAGGUAAGAGACCCUGGAAUGACCAGGAGAGGACGGCAGUCAAACGACGCCUUGCCAAGUCAAUCGCCCUUAAAAUGGUUCCAGGAAAGCAGGACUGCCUGAUGUGCAUUGCCAAAGAGUCUCCAGUCCUAAGUGCGCAGAAGUGGAAAGACGUGAAGUAUUUUGUAUACAACGAAAUUCUUAAAGUUAAAAGAAAGCUUGCAUUAUGAAUGAAUUGACUGAGUUUCCUCCCUCUGUUGUAUUUCCGUGUUUUAAAGGGUGAAUUGUCUGUUAGUUUGUUCAUUUGUUAGCACUCUAACAACUUGAACAAUAAUAAUAAAUGCUGGUUUAUUUAUUAUGUCUGCCA